AGUGAACGCUGGCGGUAGGCCUAACACAUGCAAGUCGAACGGCAGCACAGUAAGAGCUUGCUCUUACGGGUGGCGAGUGGCGGACGGGUGAGGAAUACAUCGGAAUCUACUUUUUCGUGGGGGAUAACGUAGGGAAACUUACGCUAAUACCGCAUACGACCUACGGGUGAAAGCAGGGGAUCUUCGGACCUUGCGCGAUUGAAUGAGCCGAUGUCGGAUUAGCUAGUUGGCGGGGUAAAGGCCCACCAAGGCGACGAUCCGUAGCUGGUCUGAGAGGAUGAUCGGCCACACUGGACCUGAGACACGGUCCGGACUCCUACGGGAGGCAGCGGUGGGGAAUAUUGGACAAUGGGCGCAAGCCUGAUCCAGCCAUACCGCGUGGGUGAAGAAGCCCUUCGGGUUGUAAGCCCUUUUGUUGGGAAAGAAAAGCAGCAGGUUAAUACCCCGCUGUUCUGACGGUACCCAAAGAAUAAGCACCGGCUAACUUCGUG
rnacentral:rRNA from 1 species